UGCUGAGCAUCGUCAAGGAAGCGGCGAACGUACUUAAGGGGGUGCUACCGGGUCCGAUUGGCCCCUGUUUCGGACCCUUCCGCUUAUUAGAGACGGCCUGCUCUCAUCGAGACCCACACUCAGUAGUGAAGCGCAGACCGACAGGCAAACACACACCUAACCAUAUUCACAUAGAGAGGUGGCACACGUGGCAGCCUGCCCAUCGUCCGUCCGUCGCCUGGGCACCUCGCAGCCCACCUGUGCUGCUUUGCCACAUUGCAGAGAGAGCGCGCGCAGUCUUUUUUUUUUCUUCUGCGCUGUGUGGAGCCUCUCCCAACUAAGCAUGCGUCAACGCGUUGCCUCCGCCCCGCCCGCGCUCGCGGUGACGGGUAAGGGUGUAUCGGAGAGCGCAAGGCAGAGCCGGUUAGCCAAAGUCUCGCAAACUGCGGCUGCUGCCUCUGCUGAUGGUGGCUCUGCUGCUGAAGAGAAGUGCACACCGACGCACAAACGACCACUGCUGGCAAAGAAGGGCGCGCCGAACGGUCCGAGUUCAGGUCAGCAGGGACGGGCGCUGGUGCGCGAGAGUAAGAGCAUCACCAAAACGACGGCAAUGGCCGGUUUGUGCCAUGGUGCGGAACCCCAACACUCUCUGCAUUCUCUGCAACCGUCGCCUAGCACGGCCCUAGAGGUGUCGCUUGUGCAAAAUCUCAAGAAACAGAUUGCAUGUCUCGAGGCACAGCUGCACGUGAUGAAGCAGCAGCAGGACACUAUGACCCGCACGCAUCGUCACUCCAAUGCAAGUAACCAUGGAGAAUCAGCAAGGGCAGCUGCCACUGCGGCGGCGGCUCGCCUCAUCAGCGUCGAGCUGACCCUGCCGCAUGCAGAGCGUAUUCGCCACAAGGACGCUACUGCGUCCUCCGUGACCGCCACCGAGUCCGACGACGUAGCUGUAGCGCGCAUGCGUGAAAUUCCUGCGGCGUACCAGACGGAGCGCAGCGUCCUCCUCCACAAUCUCGAAUCGCUCACAAAGGAUGUGGAAGGAUUGCAAAGUCUCGUCUUGCAUCUCGGGCGGGAGCGGGAUUUGAUGGCGGCUGAGGUUGUCGAUUUCCGCGCUGCGCUGCGUGAGACGAAGGUCGAGAAUGAAAGCAUGGCCGCUGAGUGCGCCGCGACACACCGGCUGUUGGAGAAGGAGCAGGCUCUUCGGCGCGCCGCUGAGGAGAGUGUGAGGCAGUGCACGACGGCAGCCUCGUUGCACAGAAGCAGCAUGACCGUAGCGGACGCUUACAGCCAGCGUGACUACUACAAGCUGCAAGCAGAGCGGACGGCGGAGGCGCUGACGCUGGCAAAGGCGAGAACACAUGCGCUGUCGGACGCACUUCAGCGAGAGCGCGACGCAGCGAAGACACUGGAGACGCAGUUGUGCGGCGCGCUGGAUCGCAUUUCUCAGAUGAAGCGCCGCGACGAUGAGUUGGCUCGCUACUACCAACAGCUGAGCAGCCGAUUCGUGACCAUCUCCGCCACGCUGCGCCACGUGCUGGACGUCGUACCAAAGGCUAUUUUCCAACAACAGCGUGUGCCGUCUCCUGAGCGUGCGCCUGACGGGCAACCACAAGCGGUCGACAUGACGAUGGACGAACUGCGUGACACUCUUGACGCGUGGCACCGCGAGGCCGCAGUGGAGGUGGCCAAGGCACAGCAGAAAACCGAGGCAGUCAUCGGCGACGCCCUGGCACUGCUUGAGACAGCCACGGAGACGAUAACCACAGUGACUAGUGGCUUGGAUAACGGGAUGCCGGUAAACAGCGACGAGGCUGCAGCGACGGCGCCGACUCGGUGCGCCGCGGCGAGAGCGAUGGUGGGGUCGGAGGAGUCGGCGAUAGACGAGGAUGCGCUGCCCGUCGCCCAAACUUUCGAAGAGGUUCCGCGGUCUUCGUCGUGGGAAGCUGUGACGCCAGUGACACAUCUGUUACCCGCAGUGCCGACGCCCACCGCAGGCGCUGGUAAUGCCGCGCCGUCGACCUGCAGUGACGAGAAGGGCUUCAAGGGACUUGUAGUUGACGCGGCAUUGCCAGUACAGCUGUAUGAGGUUAGCGACGCAGCAGCCAUGUCGCUGCCGCCGUCAGCGGCAGCACAGAAAACACUGGCGACUCUCGAGACACCGACGCUCAACCCCGCUGCCGUUGAUCACGCUGUGGAGGUACGCGAGGUAGCGCAGUCACUUUCGGAGGAAAAGAGCGUCACAGAGCACGUUGCGGUUGAUUCUGCUGCGCCACUCACAAGCGAGCGGACGGCAGAGAUGACAGCCGAGAAAUCUGCGGCAGCGCGCACCGCGGUGGGCAUUGCCGUUGGCAUCGCCGUAGGCGCCCCCUCGUUUUCUGGCGACGCGCUCGCGGUACCACCUGCAGCGCACGUAGCCAGCGACCCUGACCCUGUUCCGGUGAUCUCCUCCACGCCCCCUCCACAGGACAGCGAGGACACACGACCUUCUCAUCCGCCUCCCCCUGUUACCUCCACGGCAACAGCAGCGCCAGCGGAGCCGCCGGCUCCGACGCCAGAGGGAGAUGCUGGGAAUGAGAAGGGUGUGCUGUCGCUGCCGCCGGUCUCUGCGGUUCCACAUCCGCUCCCCCCAAGCCUCGUUCCUAUUCCGCUUCCAUCCGCAUCGCUUCCCCUACCGCCAGAUGCCGUGCCGGUUAGUGUCCCGCCGGCCCCUCCGGUGCCACCGUCCUUGGAGCAGCAACUGCAGCUGCUAAAUGCGCGCAUCGACGCGCAAGAGGCGGCGCUGACGGAGAUGGUGCAGUCGUGUGGGGGGCUUGUGAGGUCUACAGAUACUCAACCAAGCAAUGGCGGUGCGUGGUGCGGGGAGGAUGGGAAAUGCUGAGCGGAGCGCCUGCUGCGCGGGCAGCGUGUGCACACGAAAGGUUGCCCCUCGCACAAGAUCGACGCCUGCCUGCCCGGCUGCUGCCUUUUGUGUGCGCCUGGCGCUGAAACGAAGUAGAAGAAGAGCUUUUUUUUUCGUGCUUCACGCGAGGCUCUAUCCUUUCUCUGCCUUUCUCUCUCGAUACGGCAUGCUGUUUGCCGCGUCGUGUGUUGCGCCACGGCACGUCUGCGUGGUAAGUGAUGGGAGCCGCUGUCGCUGCCCUCCCCCCCCCCUUUGUUUGUUCGUCUCGCAUUGAUGCUCCUUUGUUUUGUUUUUCGUUGUGAUCUCGCGCGCUGGCAUGCGCUCGCCUCUCCCCCGAAGAAGGCAGCCGGGCGCGAUUUACCGAG
rnacentral:misc_RNA from 1 species